ACAGUUUCAGCCUUGAAAAGCCAUUGAUCAUAAUAAAUUUUUAUAAGCUACAAGAGUAAAACAUGAAAGAGGAUGAAAACUUUUCAGUCACUCUGUCCCGAUUAACCCAAGCUAACAGACUUUAUGGGAUUCGUUCUCCAGCACUCUACUCAUAACUGGACUCUGAUCUCAGACAGCUAGAGCUUCCCUGUGCUACAUCACAUCAUGUAGGCUGCACUUUCACCACAUUUAUACGCCAAGAGCCUUAAUUUCCAAGAUCUUAAUUUAAAAGAUCUUAAAUCUUGAUUUACUUGUAGCUGUCGGUUGUUUAUUUUUACUUUAAAAUGUUGACUUAUAGGCAAUUUCUGUGUUCUACAUAUGCUUUGUUUCAAAUUUAAUGUAAUAGCAUGCCUUUAUUAUCCAUUAUAUAUAUUAAAUAUUCUGCAGAUUUUGGAUUUCAUACAAAACUCAUCUUAUUUGCAACAUUUUCUUGGAGUGAAUAAAAAACACAUGCAUAUGAGACAAAUUUAUGCAAAUAUAUUUAAUAUAUCAUUUAUAUAUAUUUAACAUACAAACCUGAUCACAAUUUUUGACACGCCUGCUUUUUAAGCACAAAAUGUUGAGUUCUGUGUUUAAGAUGUAGGCGUGUAAAUCGUUCUGACCAACAGAUAAAGCAACGUUACAGGAUUGUGGAGCUUUGCACAUCCGUUCAGUAAGACAGGAUAGGAAAGCAGGAGCGGAGCAGCACACAUCAGGAUUGUUUGGUUUGUUAGGAUCGUAGCUGCAUCUGUAAAUCAGUGACAGAUUUAAUGUAAAACAAUGGAUGAACUCUUUUAUAUGCACAUCAGUUAGCCGGUGUGAGUGUGCUGCCCUAAAUAGUAAAAUGUUAGUAAUGUGCAAAUACUGUAAUGUUUUAUUUCCCAUUACAG